rnacentral:rRNA from 1 species
AAGAAAAUGACUGUACCCGAAUAAGAAGGUCCGGCUAACUUCGUGCCAGCAGCCGCGGUAAUACGAAGGGACCUAGCGUAGUUCGGAAUUACUGGGCUUAAAGAGUUCGUAGGUGGUUGAAAAAGUUGGUGGUGAAAUCCCAGAGCUUAACUCUGGAACUGCCAUCAAAACUUUUCAGCUAGAGUAUGAUAGAGGAAAGCAGAAUUUCUAGUGUAGAGGUGAAAUUCGUAGAUAUUAGAAAGAAUACCAAUUGCGAAGGCAGCUUUCUGGAUCAUUACUGACACUGAGGAACGAAAGCAUGGGUAGCGAAGAGGAUUAGAUACCCCCGUAGUCCAUGCCGUAAACGAUGUGUGUUAGACGUUGGAAAUUUAUUUUCAGUGUCGCAGCGAAAGCGAUAAACACACCGCCUGGGGAGUACGACCGCAAGGUUAAAACUCAAAUGAAUUGACGGGGACCCGCACAAGUAGUGGAGCAUGUGGUUUAAUUCGAAGAUACGCGCAGAACCUUACCAACACUUGACAUGUUCGUCGCGACUCUAAGAGAUUAGAGUUUUCGGUUCGGCCGGACGAAACACAGGUGCUGCAUGGCUGUCGUCAGCUCGUGUCGUGAGAUGUUGGGUUAAGUCCCGCAACGAGCGCAACCCUCACUUUUAGUUGCCAUCAUUAAGUUGGGCACUCUGAAAGAACUGCCAGUGAUAAGCUGGAGGAAGGUGGGGAUGACGUCAAGUCCUCAUGGCCCUUACGUGUUGGGCUACACACGUGCUACAAUGGUAUCUACAACAGGAAGCAAGACUGCGAGGUCAAGCAAAUCCCUAGAAGAUACCUCAGUUCGGAUUGCACUCUGCAACUCGAGUGCAUGAAGCUGGAAUUACUAGUAAUCGUGGAUCAGCGUGCCACGGUGAAUGCGUUCCCGGGUCUUGUACACACCGCCCGUCACACCAUGGGAGUUGGUUCUACCUUAAGGCAAGGUUUAAAACCCUUGACCACGGUAUAGUCAGCGACUGGGGUG